rnacentral:lncRNA from 1 species
GACUGCCUCUGCCUCUGCCUCUGCCUCUGCCUCUGCCUCUGCCUCUGCCUCUGCCUCUGCCUCUGCCUCUGCUUCCGCUGAAGGCCAGCCAGUGAAGCACCCACUCCUGCUUCCUCUGGGCUCCACCCUGUCUGGGCUCCAGAGCUCUCCCUGGGGAGUACACUCUGAGCCACAUCACCCUCUCAAGUUCUAUUCCUGCCUUGUUUUCUCCUCCCUGUGUCUUGCAUCUGAGCUGCUUUGGGGGUGAAGAAACCUUUUCGUGGAAACAGGCUGUGAGGCCCUCUGUUCCACCUGGGCUUUUCCAUGGCUGCCAAGAGGGGCCCAGCUCCUGCUCCUUCUCUUUCCCCAGCCUGAUGCUCAAGCCCUGCCAGGUCCUUGCUGCCGGGAGUACCGGGCUGGCACAUUCCAGAGAGAACACCAUUGGGUGAUGACACCUUUUAACCUGUCUUAGGGAGGAGGGUUUGGGAGACUGGACUCUGCAGGAGAACAGAAUGUCACUACAGUCAGUGACAGCGUGGAAGCCAGGAGCACCUGGUGGGGGCAUGGUCCACAUAACUGAGCUUGGACCCAAACCCUCGUUUCAGCAGCAUCAAAUGGACCCAGUCAACUCCCCCAGGCAUCGAAUGUCUGCAGGAGGAGACACAGGUGCUGAGGAUGCUGGACUCUUUUCUCUGUUCCUGAAACCUCUCCAAGGCAGUUUCCUCUUCCCUCUGCAGCAGCUGCAGCUCCUGAUCCUGCUCUUUCCCCUUCAGGAAUGCACAGUCUCCCCUCUCACUGUCACCGUUCUCUGCACCAUAUCUCCCCGUAAUAAAAAACAGUCCUCCCGUGGCAUCUAUACCCCCCCCAACAGUUUAGGACCAUUAUAUUAAAUAAUGAUAAUCACAAG